AGGGAAAUUAAGGGAUAACUUAUUUAUAUGGAUUCCUAAUCCAUGUGCCGCAGGUCCGAUUCCUGCCGGGGGCACCA
rnacentral:tRNA from 1 species